AUGAUUUUCAUCAUAUUUGGUCACAAAAAGCUAUAUCACUUUUCAAUAAACUUUUUUUUUUUAACCGUACAACACAUAUUUUAUUCCAAAGUGAAAAAUAUGAUAAAAAAUAAUAUGUCUACAUUAUGGUUUCAGGCAUAUGAUGUUUCAAGUUGGAGAAUACAAUGUGGAGGAUGUAGAAUUUUGAGCCACGAUUGGUUAAACCCAAAUAUCAAGAAAGGAAUGCAGCCUAUUGAUGGAUGUAAUAAGAUCAACUCCAUGAAAACCAAUGAAAAAACUCAAUCAAGUCUUAUUAGAAAGCAGCAUCUAAAAUUCUAUUUGAUAUUAUGUCAUAACCUGCCAUUGAAGGGUGAGGGGCUCACUGUCACCUGCAGAGCUGGCCAGAGUAUGAAGAACAUCCUAGCCUGGCACCAGCAGAACCUGGGCCUGGCUCUGAGCUCCUGCUGGCUCCUGCUGGCUCCUGCUGCCCUCCUGGACAUGAUCCCUGCCUGGAUCAGGGACAGUGGGACUGAACAGAUGUCACUCUGGCCAUCAGCAACCAAGAUGCCUUCAGAAAAAUGA
rnacentral:lncRNA from 1 species